UACGUAGGUGACAAGCGUUGUCCGGAUUUACUGGGCGUAAAGAGCGCGCAGGCGGUCGAUCAAGUCGAGUGUGAAAGCCCCCGGCUCAACUGGGGAGGGUCAUUCGAUACUGAUCGACUCGAAGGCAGGAGAGGGUAGUGGAAUUCCCGGUGUAGUGGUGAAAUGCGUAGAUAUCGGGAGGAACACCGGUGGCGAAGGCGGCGACCUGGGACAAUACUGACGCUGAGGUGCGAAAGCGUGGGGAGCAAACAGG
rnacentral:rRNA from 1 species